CGGGUUGGCGGCGGGUGGACGACAGCCCCCCUGGCAGUGUGGGGGUCAGGGGUUCGAGUCCCCUCGGCUCCACCA
rnacentral:tRNA from 1 species